rnacentral:rRNA from 1 species
GACGAACGCUGGCGGCGUGCUUAACACAUGCAAGUCGAACGGAAAGGCUCCAGCUUGCUGGAGUACUCGAGUGGCGAACGGGUGAGUAACACGUGGGUGAUCUGCCCUGCACUUCGGGAUAAGCCUGGGAAACUGGGUCUAAUACCGGAUAGGACCGCACUUUGGUGUGUGUGGUGGAAAGGUUUUUCUGGUGUGGGAUGAGCUCGCGGCCUAUCAGUUUGUUGGUGGGGUAAUGGCCUACCAAGACGGCGACGGGUAGCCGGCCUGAGAGGGUGGACGGGCCACAUUGGGCCUGGGUAACGGCCCAGACUCCAAGGGGAGGCAGCAGGGGGAAUUAUGGCAAAAGGGGGGAACCCUGAUGCAGGGAACCCGGGGUGGGGGAGAAGGGCUUCGGGUUGUAAACUCGUUUCGCUAGGGAAGAAGCUUUUUGUGACGGUACCUGGAGAAGAAGCACCGGCUAACUACGUG